rnacentral:rRNA from 1 species
UUGGAGGGCAAGUCUGGUGCCAGCAGCCGCGGUAAUUCCAGCUCCAAUAGCGUAUAUUAAAGUUGUUGCAGUUAAAAAGCUCGUAGUUGAAUUUCGGGGUUCUACCGUUGGUCGGGCUUUGUCUGUACUGGUGUGUAGAAUUUCUACCUUCUGGGGAACCAUCAUGCUAUUAAUUUAGCGUGGUGGGAAACCAGGACCUUUACCUUGAAAAAAUUAGUGUGUUCAAAGCAGGCUUAUGUCUGAAUACAUUAGCGUGGAAUAAUAGAAUAGGACGGUGGUCCUGUUUUGUUGGUUUCUGAAUCACCGUAAUGAUUAAUAGGGAUAGUUGGGGGCAUUAGUAUUCAAUUGUCAGAGGUGAAAUUCUUGGAUUUAUUGAAGACUAACUUCUGCGAAAGCAUUUGCCAAGGAUGUUUUCAUUAAUCAAGAACGAAAGUUAGGGGAUCGAAGACGAUCAGAUACCGUCGUAGUCUUAACCAUAAACUAUGCCGACUAGGGAUCGGACGAUGUUAAUAUUUUCUUGACUCGUUCGGCGCCUUACGGGAAAC